rnacentral:snRNA from 1 species
UAAAAUAUUUGUCUGGGAGAUACCAUGAUCACAAAGGUGAUUUUCCAGGGUGAGGCUUAUCCACUGCACUAAGGAAGUGCUGACCCCUGAAAUUUCCCCAAAUGUGGGAAACUCGACUGCAUAACUUGUCGUAGUAGGGGACUGUGUUUGCACUUUUCCCAC